ACGGCGACCUCCUCCCGCCUGCCUGCCUCCUCGCCGCCCGUCCCCCUCACCCGCCGCCGCCGCCGCUCGCCGGAGAUGCAGGCGACGGCAGCGCUCUUCCUCGUCCGCCCGCUCACGCGGCCCCACUGCCGGUGCUUGCAUGGGCUGCGCGGGGGCGUCUCGCUGGCCCCGCCGCGGCGGCUGGCGCGGGGGCCGCGGUGCUCCAUGAGCCUCUCCAUCGGCGGCAGCGGCGCGGGCGCCGGCGGGGACCGCGGGUUCAGCUACGAGCAUAUUGCAGUGUUCCCAAGAUACCGUAUGCGGGAUCCCUACAAGCUUCUUGGUGUUGAUCGUGAUGCAUCUGAAGAAGAGAUCAGGAGUGCUAGAAACUUCCUUAUUCAACAGUAUGCUGGACACGAGCCAAGUGAGGAAGCUAUUGAGGGUGCUUAUGAGAAGAUAAUAAUGAAGAGCUACCAGCAACGGAAAAAGACUAAAAUUAAUCUGAAAACUAAGCUAAAAAAGCGAGUUGAGGAAUCCCCAUCAUGGGUAAAAGCACUGCUUGGAUAUUUUGAGGUGCCAACAAUGGAUAUCAUUUCAAGAAGAUUGUUCUUUUUUGCUUUUAUUGCUGGUUGGAGUAUAGCGACUUCUGCUGAGAAUGGACCUGCAUUCCAGCUUGCAAUAUCACUCUUCUCGUGCAUAUAUUUCCUUAAUGACAAGAUGAAGAAUCUUAUGAGGGCAUCAACGACUGGGUUUGGAGUGCUUGUUGGUGGCUGGAUAAUUGGAUCUUUGUUGGUGCCACUGAUCCCAACAUUCAUCAUCCCACCCUCUUGGUCCCUCGAGCUACUUACCUCAUUAGUUGCAUAUGUUUUCCUCUUCCUUGGUUGCACUUUCCUGAAAUGAAACACCGUAAAUCUUGUAACGGUUUCCUAGCCAAACAACGAGGAACAGCAGCAAUCCAUCGUCGAUCUCUCCACCAAAUCUCAGGUUUUGACCCCGUCGCAGCGCUGUUCGUUCUCGAAGCCAUCACCGAAGUUUCUCGUGGGUCAGAGCAAGGCAAGUGGCACCCUUCUUUGAUCAUAUUGAACCUAUGACUAUAAAAUG